rnacentral:rRNA from 1 species
GACGCUCUCCCCAAGGACACAAGCCAUGCAUGCCCGCGCACCCGGGAGGCGGCGGACGGCUCAGGACAACGGUUGCACCCCCCGCGGCGGUACCCUGCUAGCCGGACAUCCGCUGGCAAACCCGGCGCCAAGGAACGUGCGCGCAAUGGGCGGGCGCCCGCGGGCGAGCAGCGUGACGCAG